rnacentral:rRNA from 1 species
UACAGAGGUGGCAAGCGUUGUUCGGAAUUGCUGGGCGUAAAGGGCGCGUAGGCGGUUCGGUAAGUCCUGUGUGAAAUCCCUCGGCUCAACUGAGGAACUGCACGGGAGACUGCCGGGCUUGAGUUCGGGAGAGGGAAGCGGAAUUCCGGGUGUAGCGGUGAAAUGCGUAGAUAUCCGGAGGAACACCGGUGGCGAAGGCGGCUUCCUGGACCGACACUGACGCUGAGGCGCGAAAGCUAGGGGAGCAAACAGG